AACGCACAUUGCGCCUUCUGGUAUUCCGGUAGGCAUGUCUGUCUGAGCGUCAGCAAACACCCUCAGCUUGAGUAUUUUUUUGUACUCAUGCUGGUCUUGGGCUUGGAAGCUGGGAUUAACCCCCCCGCGCCUGCCCUAAACUUGCUGCACGACCGCUGGCUUCGGCUGGGUCAAUGGAGUGGUGUCACAAUCUUCCAGAAGACUUUCAACUGUAGCGCGGUGGCGUUAAACCUGCUGUCCGAAAGGACCGAAGUUUUGACCUCAGAUCAGAUAAGGAUACCCGCUGAACUUAA
rnacentral:misc_RNA from 1 species